UGCUCAGCAACUCCUAUCCCUACCUCUUCGUGGUACUGGCUUAGGUACGAGUAACCUAAGGGAAGAUCGGGUAACCAACCCCGGUGGGAAAUCUGGUCGUAUGCUGAUAGGGAAGA
rnacentral:ribozyme from 1 species